AGUGAACGCUGGCGGCAGGCCUAAUACAUGCAAGUCGAACGGCAGCACAGCAGAGCUUGCUCUGUGGGUGGCGAGUGGCGGACGGGUGAGGAAUACAUGGGAAUCUGCCCAGUCGUGGGGGAUAACGUAUGGAAACGUACGCUAAUACCGCAUGCGCCCUAAGGGGGAAAGCCGGGACCGCAAGGCCUGGCGCGAUUGGAUGAGCCCAUGUUCGAUUAGCUAGUUGGCGGGGUAAAGGCCCACCAAGGCGACGAUCGAUAGCUGGUCUGAGAGGAUGAUCAGCCACACUGGAACUGAGACACGGUCCAGACUCCUACGGGAGGCAGCAGUGGGGAAUAUUGCACAAUGGGCGCAAGCCUGAUGCAGCGACGCCG
rnacentral:rRNA from 1 species